UGAUGGUGUUCGUGGUCAUGAUCGUGAUGAGCAUGCUCGUGAUCAUGAUCGUCAUCAUCAUGGUCAUCGUCGUCGUGAUCAUCAUGA
rnacentral:miRNA from 1 species